AGUCAAGUAAUUAAGUGCAUGUGGUGGAUGCCUUGGCAGUCAGAGGCGAUGAAAGACGUGAUAGCCUGCGAAAAGCUCCGGGGAGGCGGCAAAUAUCCUUUGAUCCGGAGAUGUCUGAAUGGGGGAACCCACCUACUUUAAGGUAGGUAUUGCAACAUGAAUACAUAGUGUUGCAAGGCGAACGAGGGGAAGUGAAACAUCUCAGUACCCUUAGGAAAAGAAAUCAAUUGAGAUUCCCUCAGUAGCGGCGAGCGAACGGGGAUCAGCCCAUUAAGUUAUGUGUGUUUUAGUGGAACGCUCUGGGAAGUGCGAACGUAGAGGGUGAUAUUCCCGUACACGAAAGGGCACACAUAAUGAUGACGAGUAGGGCGAGGCACGUGAAACCUUGUCUGAAUAUGGGGGGACCAUCCUCCAAGGCUAAAUACUCCUGACUGACCGAUAGUGAACCAGUACCGUGAGGGAAAGGCGAAAAGAACCCCUGUGAGGGGAGUGAAAUAGAUCCUGAAACCGCAUGCAUACAAGCAGUGGGAGCACCUUCGUGGUGUGACUGCGUACCUUUUGUAUAAUGGGUCAGCGACUUAUAUUCAGUAGCAAGGUUAACCGUAUAGGGGAGCCGUAGAGAAAUCGAGUCUUAAUAGGGCGUUUAGUUGCUGGGUAUAGACCCGAAACCAGGCGAUCUAUCCAUGAGCAGGUUGAAGGUUGGGUAACACUAACUGGAGGACCGAACCCACUGUCGUUGAAAAGCCAGGGGAUGACUUGUGGAUAGGGGUGAAAGGCUAAUCAAGCCUGGUGAUAGCUGGUUCUCCCCGAAAGCUAUUUAGGUAGCGCCUCGGACGAAUACCAUAGGGGGUAGAGCACUGUUUCGGCUAGGGGGUCAUCCCGACUUACCAAACCGAUGCAAACUCCGAAUACCUAUGAGUACUAUCCGGGAGACAGACUGCGGGUGCUAACGUCCGUAGUCAAGAGGAAAACAAUCCAGACCGCCAGCUAAGGCCCCAAAAUCAUAGUUAAGUGGGAAACGAUGUGGGAAGGCAUAGACAGCUAGGAGGUUGGCUUAGAAGCAGCCACCCUUUAAAGAAAGCGUAAUAGCUCACUAGUCGAGUCGGCCUGCGCGGAAGAUGU
rnacentral:rRNA from 1 species